rnacentral:rRNA from 1 species
CCACACCGUAAACGAUGAGUGCUAGGUGUCGGGUGUCAAAACUCGGUGCCGCAGCUAACGCAGUAAGCACUCCGCCUGGGGAGUACGUUCGCAAGAAUGAAACUCAAAGGAAUUGACGGGGACCCGCACAAGCAGCGGAGCAUGUGGUUUAAUUCGAAGCAACGCGAAGAACCUUACCGGGGCUUGACAUCUAUCUGCCAAGUUUAGAGAUAAGCUAUUUCUUCGGAACGGAUAGACAGGUGGUGCAUGGUUGU